AGCAGUAGCCACGGUAAUACGUAGGGUGCGAGCGUUAAUCGGAAUUACUGGGCGUAAAGCGUGCGCAGGCGGUUUUGUAAGACAGGCGUGAAAUCCCCGGGCUCAACCUGGGAAUGGCGCUUGUGACUGCAAAGCUAGAGUGCGGCAGAGGGGGAUGGAAUUCCGCGUGUAGCAGUGAAAUGCGUAGAUAUGCGGAGGAACACCGAUGGCGAAGGCAAUCCCCUGGGCCUGCACUGACGCUCAUGCACGAAAGCGUGGGGAGCAAACAGGAUUAGAUACCCGCGUAGUCCCUGUCUCUUAUAC
rnacentral:rRNA from 1 species